rnacentral:rRNA from 1 species
GACGAGGGGUCCUAGCGUUGUUCGGAAUCAUUGGGCGUAAAGCGUGUGUAGGUGGCUAUUCAAGUCAGUUGUGAAAGCCCCGGGCUUAACCCGGGAAGUGCUUCUGAUACUGUUUAGCUUGAGUACUGGAGAGGAUAGUAGAAUUCCAGGUGUAGUGGUGAAAUACGUAGAUAUCUGGAGGAAUACCGGUGGCGAAGGCGGCUAUCUGGCCAUGUACUGACGCUGAGGCGCGAAAGCGUGGGGAGCAAACAGG